AAACUCUGGUCUGGGUUAAUGGUAAAUUACAAUUCCUUUGUUAUUAAGAAAGAGCCGUGUUAAAUAUUAUUUACUUUAAUUAGCAAGACCAUAACAGUGACAAUGGGCCAGGCUGAAGGAGGAGAUUGCAACAUUGCAAGCAGGUUAUGUAAAGAAUAGAUAGGGGAAUAGAACAGUUCCCAAAAGAAACAAACACUUGCUUUAUGUACUUUUCUAACUUCUCUAAGAUCUCCAAGUAACUUUAGAAUUCCAAGCUCACUUCCCAAGGGAUAAUGGUUUGUGUUCGAUAAGGUCAUCUUUUCGUGGUACAUGACCCAUCAAAUUGAGAGAAGCAUAAGCUCCUUAUCUUCAAAUAGAUGAUAGCUUUGGGAUCCUUACAUGGUUAGUUUCAAAGGGGUCCAAACCAAACGGCUUACUUUUUCUUUUGCUGGUAAACUAUUUCGUUAGAAAGAUUAUGAAAAUAAUUGCACUCUUCCUGUGUCCCAAAAAAGUGUUGUCUGUUGAUCUUGUCGCAAGAACAUCACCACCUUCGUUGAUCCCUAGAGGAUGCCAAGUGCCAAAAUGCUUUACACGUACGUCAAUGUACAUAUUAUACGGAUAUCAAUAUAAUAUCAUAUUCUCAAAUGUUACUGUCUAAAAAGUAAUUAUAUAUGAAUGAUUAUCUACUUUAAGUAAUUGAUCAUUUGAUGUCAUUACUCUUUUAGACGAUAGCAUUUGAGAAUUAUGAUGAUCAAUUACUUUGAAUAGACUAUUAGCACUUACAAGUUAUGUUAAUUACAUUGAUAUGACCUAUUAAAUUUAUAUUUUUCUUCUUCUCUCUA